GCCUUCGGGCAUUUGGUCAAUUUGAAACGAUACAGAGAAGAUGUGAGUAAUCCCCAACGACACCAGUUCGAAUCGGUAUGCAAGUACUAACUUCAUUGCAGUAGCAUGGCCCCUGCACUAAGGAUGACACAUGUAAUCAAAGAGAAGCAAACCAUUUUU
rnacentral:snRNA from 1 species